rnacentral:sRNA from 1 species
AAUAUGGCGCUUUAAAUACACACACGUUUCGUCACAUGCGUUAGGGUCCCUUUGGGGUGACGUAUGGGAGACGUGGAGGCUUAAC